CAGCUGAAUUUACAAACAAUGCAAGCGAUGUUAACCUACAACAUGAUCGCGAGACUGCCGAUUUCUUCCUGAUAUCUACGAGACUGCCAAUUUGAGCUGGAAGAUUUUUGUAGAACAGGCAAUUGAAUUGUCGUCUCCAUCAUUAAUUCAACCUAAAAACAAAUUUGUAGAGAUUAUAUAUAUAUAUAUAUAUAUUUAAUCUAAUUAUGAGCAUGAUUUAUGGCCGAGCAAUAUCUAAAAUGUACGCUUCAUGAAGUUCACAACAAAAGACAGUAAUAUAUGAUAUAUCAUACCAUCACUACCGUAUGGUUCAGUAUACACGAUAUUAUAUUUUGGUGACAAUUGUAAGUUUAGACUUUAAUAAUUUCAGUUCAUGAAAUUAAUCCCAAGAUCAUCUAGAUUCAUUAUAAUCCAACCAAAUAUACUUUAUAGAAAAAGUAGAAACACUUACCUUGAUCCAUGUUUCCUUUUAGUGUUUGUGAUGGAAAUGAGCUUGAUUUCUUCUUCUUUAACCUUUUCU
rnacentral:lncRNA from 1 species